CAAAAAAAGAAAAAAGGGAUUUCCCGUUUUAUGAACCCUAAACUCUGUUUUUAGUGGAACUUCUGAGUACAAAAAACCAAUAAAUCAAAACUUUCAACACCGGAUCCCUUGGUUCCGGCCCCGAUGAAGAACGCACCAAAAUGCGAUAAGCAAUGUGACUUGCACAAUUCACUGAAUCAUCGAAUCUUUGAACGCACAUUGCGCCCGCCCGUAUUCUGGCGGGCAUGCCUGUUCCAGCGUCAUUUCACCCUCAAGCUCCCCUUGGUGUUGGGACCUGCACCCCUGCUGCCCUCCCCAAAUACAUUGCCGGUCACGCCGAGCUUCCAUAGCGUAGUAAUUUACUAUCGUUACUGGUAAUCGUCGCGCCCCCCCGUUAAACCCCACCCUCUGACUGCCACCUCCCCCCGCUACGAAUA
rnacentral:sRNA from 1 species